AUACGGAGGAUCCGAGCGUUAUCCGGAUUUAUUGGGUUUAAAGGGAGCGUAGGCGGGAGAUCAAGUCAGCUGUGAAAUGUAGGCGCUCAACGUGUGCACUGCAGUUGAAACUGGUUUUCUUGAGUGCGUAAGGGGCAGGCGGAAAUUGGCGGGUAGCGGUGAAAUGCUUAGAUAUGACGAAAAACUCCGAUGGGGAAGGCAGCUUGCCGGGCCGCAACUGACGCUGAAGCUCGAAGGUGCGGGUAUCGAACAGGAUUAGAUACCCUGGUAGUCCGCACAGUAAACGAUGGAUACUCGCUGUCGGCGAUAUACGGUCGGUGGCCAAGCGAAAGCGUUAAGUAUCCCACCUGGGGAGUACGCCGGCAACGGUGAAACUCAAAUGAAUUGGCGGGG
rnacentral:rRNA from 1 species